AUGAGCAGACAGGAACGCCCAAGUUUGUCUCCUCCUUCUCCCUCCCCGCUGCCCAGAGUGCCAGAAUCUCAUCGAGGGCCUGUUGCAGCUGAAGCCGGCGGCCCGCCUGGGGUUGCAGCAGGUGGCCACCCACCGCUGGAUGCUCCCGGCUACCUCCGCCAUCUUCCACCGGGUGAUGAGCUCCAUGGGAGUCCAUCCGGAGGGCUCCGCGGGCCAGGAAAAGCCUCAGGCGGCAUCAGGUACUGCGGGGCGUCCGGAGAGGCGGCUGCGGGACAAGCCGCCGCAGGUCCCGCUGGGCAAAGCGGGCGUCGGCAGCCCGGCCCACCCUCGACGGGACCGGCAGCGCUCCCAGGCCGUGACCGGCGGCCCUCCCCUCCGUCUCGUUGCAGGCGAGGUGGGCGGCCCCUCGGCCCAGCUGCCGGACCUCGAGAGCCCCGCCAAGAGCGCGGAGGGCCCGGCCAAGGUCCUGCCGGCGCCGGCGCGCGCCUCCUCGGCCGCGGGAGCCUUCCCGGCCCGGGCCAAGGCCGAGAAGAAGAGCCCGCCGGUCACGCCGGCCAACUGCGUGCUGCAGCUGCCCUCGCCGCGCAAGACGGAGCGCCCGCCGCGCCUCUCGCUCUACCGGCCCAGCCUGCUGACCAGCCUGCAGCCCUUCCACCACCUGCCCAACUUCCGCAAGCCCGGCUCGGGCUUCUCGGCCAGCGCCUACGUGACCAGCAAGCGGCUCGGGGAGAAGGCGCCCGCCCGCCUGGGCAGCGCCUCGGCCAGCCUCUCCAAGCAAGUGCACUCCCUCUGCAGCAUGACGCCCUGCCCGUGACGCGCCCGCCCGACGCCCGGGAACCCACCGCCGCCGCCGGACCAGCCCAUGAAAGCCAGUCAGAGUCGCCCGGGCUGCUGCGAUGCCCGCGGCCGCCCGGACCUGAGAGGCGGCCGGCCGAGCCCCGGCGCCGCCCUUCGCCUGUCGGCACGCGCGAAGCUCCCCCGCGCUUUCUGCAUAUACAUCCGUGUACCGUUGCUUUGUGUGCGGCUGCUGCUGUCUGA
rnacentral:lncRNA from 1 species